GUUGUAUGGUUAAGUGACUAAGCGUACACGGUGGAUGCCUUGGCAGUCAGAGGCGAUGAAAGACGUAGUAACUUGCGAUAAGCCCAGAUUAGGUAGUAACAACCAUUUGAGUCUGGGAUUUCUGAAUGGGGAAACCCACGUGCAUAAGCACGUAUCCUUACCUGAAUACAUAGGGUAAGGAGGCGAACCGGGGGAACUGAAACAUCUAAGUACCCCGAGGAAAAGAAAUCAACCGAGAUUCCGAAAGUAGCGGCGAGCGAAAUUGGACUAGCCCUUAAGCUUUACACGCGUUAGACGAACGGUCUGGAAAGUCCGACGAUACAGGGUGAUAGUCCCGUAGUUGACGACGUGUGUUCAGUGAAAUCGAGUAGGGCGGGACACGUGAUAUCCUGUCUGAAUAUGGGGGGACCAUCCUCCAAGGCUAAAUACUACUGACUGACCGAUAGUGAACCAGUACCGUGAGGGAAAGGCGAAAAGAACCCCUGUGAGGGGAGUGAAAUAGAACCUGAAACCGUGUACGUACAAGCAGUAGGAGCAGGCUUUGUCCUGUGACUGCGUACCUUUUGUAUAAUGGGUCAGCGACUUAUAUUCAGUGGCAAGGUUAACCAUCUAGGGGAGCCGUAGGGAAACCGAGUCUUAACUGGGCGUUCAGUCUCUGGAUAUAGACCCGAAACCAGGUGAUCUAGCCAUGGGCAGGUUGAAGGUUGAGUAACAUCAACUGGAGGACCGAACCGACUAAUGUUGAAAAAUUAGCGGAUGACUUGUGGCUAGGGGUGAAAGGCCAAUCAAACCUGGAGAUAGCUGGUUCUCCCCGAAAGCUAUUUAGGUAGCGCCUCGGACGAAUACUACUGGGGGUAGAGCACUGUUAAGGCUAGGGGGUCAUCCCGACUUACCAACCCUUUGCAAACUCCGAAUACCAGUAAGUACUAUCCGGGAGACACACGGCGGGUGCUAACGUCCGUCGUGGAGAGGGAAACAACCCAGACCGCCAGCUAAGGUCCCAAAUUACUACUAAGUGGGAAACGAUGUGGGAAGGCUCAGACAGCCAGGAUGUUGGCUUAGAAGCAGCCAUCAUUUAAAGAAAGCGUAAUAGCUCACUGGUCGAGUCGGCCUGCGCGGAAGAUGUAACGGGGCUAAGUAGUAAACCGAAGCUGCGGCAAUAUACUUUUGUAUAUUGGGUAGGGGAGCGUUCUGUAAGCGGUUGAAGGUGUGUGGUAACGCAUGCUGGACGUAUCAGAAGUGCGAAUGCUGACAUGAGUAACGAUAAAGGGGGUGAAAAACCUCCUCGCCGGAAGACCAAGGGUUCCUGUCCAACGUUAAUCGGGGCAGGGUAAGUCGACCCCUAAGGCGAGGCCGAAAGGCGUAGUCGAUGGGAAACGGGUUAAUAUUCCCGUACUUCUUACAAUUGCGAUGGGGGGACGGAGAAGGCUAGGUGGGCCUGGCGACGGUUGUCCAGGUUCAAGUGCGUAGGCUUGAGAGUUAGGUAAAUCCGGCUCUCUUUAAGGCUGAGACACGACGUCGAGCAUCUACGGAUGUGAAGUCAUUGAUGCCAUGCUUCCAGGAAAAGCCUCUAAGCUUCAGAUUGUAAGGAAUCGUACCCCAAACCGACACAGGUGGUCGGGUAGAGAAUACCAAGGCGCUUGAGAGAACUCGGGUGAAGGAACUAGGCAAAAUGGUACCGUAACUUCGGGAGAAGGUACGCUCUCGACGGUGAAGUCCCUUGCGGAUGGAGCUAUUGAGAGUCGCAGAUACCAGGUGGCUGCAACUGUUUAUUAAAAACACAGCACUGUGCAAAAUCGUAAGAUGACGUAUACGGUGUGACGCCUGCCCGGUGCCGGAAGGUUAAUUGAUGGGGUUAGACUUCGGUCGAAGCUCUUGAUCGAAGCCCCGGUAAACGGCGGCCGUAACUAUAACGGUCCUAAGGUAGCGAAAUUCCUUGUCGGGUAAGUUCCGACCUGCACGAAUGGCGUAAUGAUGGCCACGCUGUCUCCACCCGAGACUCAGUGAAAUUGAAAUCGCUGUGAAGAUGCAGUGUACCCGCGGCUAGACGGAAAGACCCCGUGAACCUUUACUACAGCUUGGCACUGAACAUUGACCCUACAUGUGUAGGAUAGGUGGGAGGCUUUGAAGCACGUACGCCAGUAUGUGUGGAGCCGUCCUUGAAAUACCACCCUUGUAGUGUUGAUGUUCUAACGUCGACCCCUAAUCGGGGUUGCGGACAGUGCCUGGUGGGUAGUUUGACUGGGGCGGUCUCCUCCCAAAGAGUAACGGAGGAGCACGAAGGUGGGCUAAUCACGGUUGGACAUCGUGAGGUUAGUGCAAUGGCAUAAGCCCGCUUGACUGCGAGAAUGACAAUUCGAGCAGGUGCGAAAGCAGGUCAUAGUGAUCCGGUGGUUCUGAAUGGAAGGGCCAUCGCUCAACGGAUAAAAGGUACUCCGGGGAUAACAGGCUGAUACCGCCCAAGAGUUCAUAUCGACGGCGGUGUUUGGCACCUCGAUGUCGGCUCAUCACAUCCUGGGGCUGAAGUCGGUCCCAAGGGUAUGGCUGUUCGCCAUUUAAAGUGGUACGCGAGCUGGGUUUAGAACGUCGUGAGACAGUUCGGUCCCUAUCUGCCGUGGGCGUUGGAAGAUUGAAGGGGGCUGCUCCUAGUACGAGAGGACCGGAGUGGACGAACCUCUGGUGUUCGGGUUGUGUCGCCAGACGCAUUGCCCGGUAGCUAAGUUCGGAAUCGAUAACCGCUGAAAGCAUCUAAGCGGGAAGCGAGCCCUGAGAUGAGUCUUCCCUGAUACUUUAAGUAUCCUAAAGGGUUGUCGGAGACUACGACGUUGAUAGGUCAGGUGUGUAAGUGCUGUGAGGCAUUGAGCUAACUGAUACUAAUUGCCCGUGAGGCUUAACCAUACAACACCCAAGGGGUUU
rnacentral:rRNA from 1 species